rnacentral:rRNA from 1 species
ACGGGUGAGUAAUACGUGAGUAACCUGCCCUUGACUCUGGGAUAAGCCUGGGAAACCGGGUCUAAUACUGGAUACGACGUCCUACCGCAUGGUGGGGCGUGGAAAGGGUUUUACUGGUUUUGGAUGGGCUCACGGCCUAUCAGCUUGUUGGUGGGGUAAUGGCCUACCAAGGCGACGACGGGUAGCCGGCCUGAGAGGGUGACCGGCCACACUGGGACUGAGACACGGCCCAGACUCCUACGGGAGGCAGCAGUGGGGAAUAUUGCACAAUGGGCGCAAGCCUGAUGCAGCGACGCCGCGUGAGGGAUGACGGCCUUCGGGUUGUAAACCUCUUUCAGCAGGGAAGAAGCCACAAGUGACGGUACCUGCAGAAGAAGCGCCGGCUAACUACGUGCCAGCAGCCGCGGUAAUACGUAGGGCGCAAGCGUUGUCCGGAAUUAUUGGGCGUAAAGAGCUCGUAGGCGGUUUGUCGCGUCUGCUGUGAAAGCCCGGGGCUCAACCCCGGGUCUGCAGUGGGUACGGGCAGACUAGAGUGCAGUAGGGGAGACUGGAAUUCCUGGUGUAGCGGUGAAAUGCGCAGAUAUCAGGAGGAACACCGAUGGCGAAGGCAGGUCUCUGGGCUGUUACUGACGCUGAGGAGCGAAAGCAUGGGGAGCGAACAGGAUUAGAUACCCUGGUAGUCCAUGCCGUAAACGUUGGGCACUAGGUGUGGGGGACAUUCCACGUUCUCCGCGCCGUAGCUAACGCAUUAAGUGCCCCGCCUGGGGAGUACGGCCGCAAGGCUAAAACUCAAAGGAAUUGACGGGGGCCCGCACAAGCGGCGGAGCAUGCGGAUUAAUUCGAUGCAACGCGAAGAACCUUACCAAGGCUUGACAUCCACCGGACCGCACUGGAGACAGUGCUUCCCUUCGGGGCUGGUGGACAGGUGGUGCAUGGUUGUCGUCAGCUCGUGUCGUGAGAUGUUGGGUUAAGUCCCGCAACGAGCGCAACCCUCGUUCUAUGUUGCCAGCACGUGAUGGUGGGGACUCAUAGGAGACUGCCGGGGUCAACUCGGAAGAAGGUGGGGAUGACGUCAAAUCAUCAUGCCCCUUAUGUCUUGGGCUUCACGCA